UACGUAGGGGGCUAGCGUUGUCCGGAAUCAUUGGGCGUAAAGAGCGUGUAGGCGGUCCGGUAAGUCCGCUGUGAAAGUCGGGGGCUCAACCCUCGAAUGCCGGUGGAUACUGUCGGGCUAGAGUGCGGAAGAGGCGAGUGGAAUUCCUGGUGUAGCGGUGAAAUGCGCAGAUAUCAGGAGGAACACCUAUUGCGAAGGCAGCUCGCUGGGACGUAACUGACGCUGGAGACGCGAAAGCGUGGGGAGCAAACAGA
rnacentral:rRNA from 1 species